ensembl:lncRNA
AUGGGGCUUCGCGGACCGAGCAGCUCGGGGGUGUUCCUGACAGUCAGCCUUCUGUGGGUGACUGGAUGCUUCACCCAAAAAGUUUACUUUGAUUGUGGAGCCAAGGUGGAUGUUGUGGAUGUGCAGGGCCUCAUUCUGUCCCCUGGCUUCCCAUAUAACUAUUCAUCUGGAACUCACUGUGUGUGGCAGUUCUUUGUACCUGUUGGUCACCAGCUAAUCCUGGAGAUGUUUGAUUUUGAUGUCUUUGAGAGUCACGACAGUGCCGUUGUGGACGAGGUACCAAACGAUGGUGGCGCGCUGGUGUCGAAAAGCCUCGGAAGUCCAAAAGAACCCCAGUCCACACUCCGAGAGGACGUCAAGCAAGUGGUGAUCCAAGAACAGUCCACCAAAAUGGAGAUGACCAAAGUUUCCAAUUCUGCCAAAAUGCUUUCCGAUCCCCCCUCGGCUCCACAAGCAUCUCUUCCAGUUGAAAACAGAAAUUUUGUUUCAUCUCAGGCAUCAAGAGCAGCCACUGACUUUAUCAUUUCAAGCCCACGAACGGCCACAGAAACGGGUGACGCUGUGAGCCCUGAGACCCAGGCACCUUUGAUCGAUGCCUGUCCCAACGAUGUUCUCUACAUAUCAGAUCUCAUCACCUUCUCCUCCCGAUUCUGCGGCUCUAGACAGCCUUCUAGCAGCCAGUUAGUGUUUGGAUCUGAUGAUGACAUGGUUGAGGUCAUUAUGGAGUUGAUUACCACUACCCACUGGGGCCGUGGUUUCGCUCUCCUUUUCCAUUAUCAGAAUCAAACUCAGACCGCCACAAGCGAACAUCAGAGAUCACUAUUGACCUCCGACAGCAGAACUGGUGUUGUACUGCUCGGUGCUGUAAGUGGGACAGUUGUAUUUGCUGUGGCCCUUGCUGGCAUCCUCUGUGUGAUUUUCAGGCCGAAACUGUGCGCAAAAGGAGCCAAUGCUUCCUCUUCCAUCAGCUCAGAGGUUCCAGAAGGAGUGCUAAAUUCAGCGGCUGAUGUGAGUGAACUGCAGAUGGUUUCUCCCAAUCACUUGGAGCAGCAGCCGGGAGCAACAGGUGCGUAG